AUGUCCAUCUUCGACGAGUUCUAUGUGGGUUCCAUUGACCUCGGUCGCCUCAACUAUGGGAUCAUUUCGCUCAUCCCCAAAGUGGCUGGGGCAUCCGACAUCCGCUAGUUCCGUCCAAUUAUGGUGAUCAACGUGAUCUUCUGGAUCCUGGCAAAAGGGUACGCCAAUAGGGUGACCCUGCUUGCGGAUCGCAUUACCCACCCACAGUCGGCAUUCAUUCAAGGGUGCUAUAUCUUGGACGGGGUUCUAGUCCUUCAUGAAGUCCUCCAUGUGGUUCGCUCGAAGCACCUCAAGGCGGUCUUCCUGAAGAUCGAUUUCCAUAAGGCCUACUAUACAGUCAGCUUGUCCUUCCUUCGGGAAGUUUUGCUCCGGAAGGGCUUCGAUGACCAUUGGGCCACCUGCAUGAUGUAG
rnacentral:rRNA from 1 species